GGGCCAGCCUGGGGUACAGUGUAAGAUAAGAUCCUAUGUCAAUGUGCAUUCCUACAGUGCUUGCCAGAACAAUUUUGAAGUGGUUUGAGGCCUUGCCCUGCUCUCUCCAGAGCAAGGUUAUAGAAAUUUCAGACAAUA